UGAGGAAUAUUGGUCAAUGGACGGAAGUCUGAACCAGCCAAGUAGCGUGCAGGAUGACGGCCCUAUGGGUUGUAAACUGCUUUUGUAUGGGGAUAAAGUUAGGGACGUGUCCCUAUUUGCAGGUACCAUAUGAAUAAGGACCGGCUAAUUCCGUGCCAGCAGCCGCGGUAAUACGGAAGGUUCAGGCGUUAUCCGGAUUUAUUGGGUUUAAAGGGAGCGUAGGCUGGAGAUUAAGUGUGUUGUGAAAUGUAGACGCUCAACGUCUGACUUGCAGCGCAUACUGGUUUCCUUGAGUACGCACAACGUUGGCGGAAUUCGUCGUGUAGCGGUGAAAUGCUUAGAUAUGACGAAGAACUCCGAUUGCGAAGGCAGCUGACGGGAGCGCAACUGACGCUUAAGCUCGAAGGUGCGGGUAUCAAACAGGAUUAGAUACCCUGGUAGUCCGCACAGUAAACGAUGGAUGCCCGCUGUUGGUACCUGGUAUCAGCGGCUAAGCGAAAGCAUUAAGCAUCCCACCUGGGGAGUACGCCGGCAACGGUGA
rnacentral:rRNA from 1 species